rnacentral:rRNA from 1 species
GACGAACGCUGGCGGCGUGCCUAAUACAUGCAAGUGGGACGCAAGGAAACACACUGUGCUUGCACACCGUGUUUUCUUGAGUCGCGAACGGGUGAGUAACGCGUAGGUAACCUGCCUAUUAGCGGGGGAUAACUAUUGGAAACGAUAGCUAAUACCGCAUAAUAUUAAUUAUUGCAUGAUAAUUGAUUGAAAGGUGCAAGCGCAUCACUAGUAGAUGGACCUGCGUUGUAUUAGCUAGUUGGUAAGGUAAGAGCCUACCAAAGCGACGAUACAUAGCCGACCAGAGAAGGGGGUCGGCCACACUGGGACUGAGACACGGCCCAGACCUCUACGGGAGGCAGCAGUAGGGAAUCUUCGGCAAUGGACGAAAGUCUGACCGAGCAACGCCGCGUGAGUGAAGAAGGUUUUCGGAUCGUAAAGCUCUGUUGUAAGUCAAGAACGUGUGUGAGAGUGGAAAGUUCACACAGUGACGGUAGCUAACCAGAAAGGGACGGCUAACUACGUG